CCACUGGGCAGAGGGAUGACUGGCCUCUCAGAUGUGAUGGACCCCAGGCAACCUCGAGCAGAGCCCAAAGCCAGCCCCAGUGUCUUCCCGCUGAGCCUCUGCAGCUGUGACGAAGCCGGGCACGUGGUCAUCGCCUGCCUGGUGCAGGGGUUCUUCCCACCGGAGCCCGUGAACGUGACCUGGAGCCCCGGCAAGGAGGGCGCGUCCGUCAGGAACUUCCCGCCUGUGAAGGCCACUGCCGGCAGUCUGUACACCAUGAGCAGCCAGCUGACCCUGCCGGCCGACCAGUGCCCCGCUGGGUCGUCCCUGCAGUGCCACGUUCAGCACCUCUCCGACCCCAGCAAGGCUGUGUCUGUGCCCUGCCAAGGUCCAGGCCUGUGUCCCCCCCAUUGUCAGUGUCCCUCGUGCGACCAGCCCCGCCUGUCACUUCACCCGCCCGCCCUUGAGGAUCUGCUUGUGACCUCCAAUGGCAGCCUCACGUGCACGCUGAGUGGCCUGAAAGACCCCAAGGGAGCCUCCUUCAGCUGGACGCCCUCCGGGGGGAAGGACGCCAUCCAGAAGGCCCCCAAGCGGGACGCCUGCGGCUGCUAUAGCGUGUCCAGCGUGCUGCCGGGCUGCGCAGCGCCGUGGAACAGUGGGGUCACCUUCACCUGCACGGCCACCCACCCCGAGUCCAAGAGCCCGAUAACCGGCAACAUCAGCAAACUCCUAGGAAACACCUUCCGGCCCCAGGUCCACCUGCUGCCGCCGCCGUCGGAGGAGCUGGCCCUCAACGAGCUGGUGUCGCUGACCUGCUUGGUGAGGGGCUUCAGCCCCAAGGACGUGCUAGUCCGCUGGCAGCAGGGGACCCAGGAGCUGCCCCCGGAGAAGUACACGACCUGGAAGUCCCUGAAGGAGCCCGGCCGGGGCAGCCCCACCUUCGCCGUGACCAGCGUGCUGAGGGUCGACGCCGAGGCCUGGAAGCAGGGGGACAAGUUCUCCUGCGUGGUGGGCCACGAGACCUUGGGCCCGGCCAACUUCACCGAGAAGACCAUCGACCGCCUGGCGGGUAAACCCACCCACGUCAACGUGUCUGUGGUCGUGGCAGAGGUGGACGGCGUCUGCUACUGAAACGCCCACCCGUCCUCCUGAAUAAAGUCCGUGUUUGCCCGGAGUGACCCCGGGUCCCCCUGA